GAUGAACGCUGGCGGCGUGCCUAAUACAUGCAAGUAGAACGCUGAAGGAGGAGCUUGCUUCUCUGGAUGAGUUGCGAACGGGUGAGUAACGCGUAGGUAACCUGCCUGGUAGCGGGGGAUAACUAUUGGAAACGAUAGCUAAUACCGCAUAAUAGUAGAUGUUGCAUGACAUUUGCUUAAAAGGUGCAAUUGCAUCACUACUAGAUGGACCUGCGUUGUAUUAGCUAGUUGGUGGGGUAACGGCUCACCAAGGCGACGAUACAUAGCCGACCUGAGAGGGUGAUCGGCCACACUGGGACUGAGACACGGCCCAGACUCCUACGGGAGGCAGCAGUAGGGAAUCUUCGGCAAUGGACGGAAGUCUGACCGAGCAACGCCGCGUGAGUGAAGAAGGUUUUCGGAUCGUAAAGCUCUGUUGUAAGAGGAGAACGAGUGUGAGAGUGGAAAGUUCACACUGUGACGGUAUCUUACCAGAAAGGGACGGCUAACUACGUG
rnacentral:rRNA from 1 species